rnacentral:rRNA from 1 species
UAUAAUGCAGUCGAACGCUUCUUUUUCCACCGGAGCUUGCUCCACCGGAAAAAGAGGAGUGGCGAACGGGUGAGUAACACGUGGGUAACCUGCCCAUCAGAAGGGGAUAACACUUGGAAACAGGUGCUAAUACCGUAUAACAAUCAAAACCGCAUGGUUUUGAUUUGAAAGGCGCUUUCGGGUGUCGCUGAUGGAUGGACCCGCGGUGCAUUAGCUAGUUGGUGAGGUAACGGCUCACCAAGGCCACGAUGCAUAGCCGACCUGAGAGGGUGAUCGGCCACAUUGGGACUGAGACACGGCCCAAACUCCUACGGGAGGCAGCAGUAGGGAAUCUUCGGCAAUGGACGAAAGUCUGACCGAGCAACGCCGCGUGAGUGAAGAAGGUUUUCGGAUCGUAAAACUCUGUUGUUAGAGAAGAACAAGGAUGAGAGUAACUGUUCAUCCCUUGACGGUAUCUAACCAGAAAGCCACGGCUAACUACGUGCCAGCAGCCGCGGUAAUACGUAGGUGGCAAGCGUUGUCCGGAUUUAUUGGGCGUAAAGCGAGCGCAGGCGGUUUCUUAAGUCUGAUGUGAAAGCCCCCGGCUCAACCGGGGAGGGUCAUUGGAAACUGGGAGACUUGAGUGCAGAAGAGGAGAGUGGAAUUCCAUGUGUAGCGGUGAAAUGCGUAGAUAUAUGGAGGAACACCAGUGGCGAAGGCGGCUCUCUGGUCUGUAACUGACGCUGAGGCUCGAAAGCGUGGGGAGCAAACAGGAUUAGAUACCCUGGUAGUCCACGCCGUAAACGAUGAGUGCUAAGUGUUGGAGGGUUUCCGCCCUUCAGUGCUGCAGCUAACGCAUUAAGCACUCCGCCUGGGGAGUACGACCGCAAGGUUGAAACUCAAAGGAAUUGACGGGGGCCCGCACAAGCGGUGGAGCAUGUGGUUUAAUUCGAAGCAACGCGAAGAACCUUACCAGGUCUUGACAUCCUUUGACCACUCUAGAGAUAGAGCUUCCCCUUCGGGGGCAAAGUGACAGGUGGUGCAUGGUUGUCGUCAGCUCGUGUCGUGAGAUGUUGGGUUAGUCCCGCAACGAGCGCAGCCCUUAUUGUUAUUUGCCAUCAUUCAGUUGGGCACUCUACCAGACUGCCGUGACAACGGAGGAAGGUGGGGAUGACGUC